CCGCUAAUGGCUCAGAUGGAGAUGGAACGCAUCUCCCUCCAGAAUGGAUCUGCUCCGCCCGUGUUCGAGCUUACUUUGUAAUCUGGCUCAGAUUUAUCUAAUCUUUUCCCUCCCCCCUUCUCUUGGCAGACGGUCCCAGACCCGCCCUCCCAGCCAGCACCCGGGACGGCGCUAGCCUCAUUCCCUCUCCGUGGCUGCUUGGGGCUGCGGACGCCCCAUCACCGAGAUCGCCCGAGUAGCCUUAGCGACAGCUGAGAUAAAUGUGGGCUUGGGGAGCAGAAGCCCCUGCAGAAGUCAGCAGGGGCCAUAAAGGAGCAGAUUCCUCCCCCCCUCCCAAAAGCCACACACCGCCGCAUGCAGGCCAAGCCUCCGCCUGCCAGUCAACCCCGGCUGUCCUGAGCCGGGGAGGAACAAUGCAGAAGGGCAGCGCCAGAAAAAUGUUUGCCCGGGGAUUACCAGACAUCGCAGAGCAGACGGCAAGGGCUUCAGGAAGCCCAGAACUUCCUAAGGAAACAACCCCCAAAAGAUGUCUGGACAGCGUCUACCCCUUCUGCCAUGACGGUGGCCCUCCCUGUGCGACCCAUCUCUUGUGGAUGGCCAUACUCCAUCCGCAGGUAAGGAUGGGUCUCCACCUGCUCUGCACGUACCUAGAGCUCCUAUCCUGGGGACGGCCCCUGGAGCUGCACCCCUCCUCCGGCAGGGACACAGAGCAGUGGGUGGUCUCAGUCCUGCAUGUUUGUGCCUUCGAGUGCAGGACAUGGGAACCACGUGAGCUGGACCUCCAGGGCCUGAGAAAGAACGGAUGGAUGGUGGGUGAGGACAGAGUGUGGCAGCGAGG
rnacentral:lncRNA from 1 species